ACAUAUUUCUCUCUGAUUCUUGGCUGAGUUCUUGGUGAUGUAGGUUUUGCAUGCAGCUACUCAACUGUGGAAAAACAUGCCACAGAGCUCCUGCUCCAGUGCUAAUGCUAAUGCCACGGGUUUUACAGUUUUGACACAGCAGUGGGUCUGAUAACUGAAGACUUAAGUACCAGCAAGGAUUAGCACCUUGCUAGGCUUCCUAGUCACAUGGUCUGUCAUUUUCCUCAGUCCUCUAAUGGUUAUAUUUCUGACAAACAUUACUGUAUGUGGAGCAGUCAGUCCAGCUAUAGAUAUUAUUAGAAAUUCCAUAUCAGUCACAUAUGCAGCAUCAUCCGUGACAUCAGUAGUCUCUCCAAUCUGAUCAUUCAUGAUCAUACAUGCUCUGUGGACAAGUAAAUCACAUUACUGCAGCAUUGUAAAAAGAAUACAUUUAUUUGGUCCUAAUAAAAAUUGAACAGACGUUCGAGUGUUUCUCACAGGGACCCAGCAGCUAAAGGGUUGCGUUAGAACUUCUUCUGUUCUCUUGAUUGUUUGACAGAGAUGAUUUCUUUCAGGGCAUAACGUGAGUGGAGUCUGAAAAAACACAAACAUUUCUGUUUUUCUUUUUCUUACAAACAAUUUCAGGGUCUUAUAUUGUUUAUUUUUGUUUACUGUUGCAUUGUUUUUGUCUUUGUUGAACUUAUUAGCGAGCUACGCUGUGUCCCUCCAUGAUGUCACACUAGUUGAAUAGAUGACAGCUACUGCCAUCUGGUCCACACGCCCUGUGCUGGAAGUAAAAGUCACAUUGGGAUUUACAGGUAUAAACCUGUCCAGGACUACACUUUAGUCCAGCCUCCAUAAUUAAAUAGUAUACUUUGAUUUUCACGAUAUUGGUAUCUUGCACGAUAUAUUUGAAUAUUAACUUGUACUCCUACUCGAACAUAUUUGCUGAUCCAGUUGUUAGGGCUGUCUGUUCCCUCUUCCUGCCUUGUCUGCUGGCUGUAGUUAAUCAGUGUGAUCACAUUCACCUGUGUCUCUGUCAUUAGUCUCACUCAUGUCACCUGGUGCCCUGGGUAUAGUGUAUAUACCUCUCUCCCAGUUUGUCUGUGUGCAGGUUGUGGUUAGAGUCCAUGGUUUGAAGAUGGCAAUGCCUUGAAGUUUAAGCCUUGUUCCUGUGAUCAAAGUCUGGGGGACAGAGGACAAACAGAAAGAGACACUAUUCAUGACUGGACAAGACUCACUGACGUGAUGAACAUUUCUUCUCCUGGAACGUGUCAAAUAUCUGUAGUACUGCAGACUGAACCUCAGCCUGGAGUUAAACUGGGUUGGCUUAGUCCAUGCUGUCUGGAUUCAAAGGCCAAGGCCCUUGUACUCUGCGUCUGGGUGUCUGGGUUUGGACGUCCAACUCUGUCCAGGAUGGCUUAUUUAUGACCUGAGCUGCGUCUGGUCCAGCAGCCAGAGAGACAGAGAGAAAAAAGGGGAGAAUCCGGCGCAUCACUACCAUGGUGCAUUCCAACACACACACACACACACACACACACAAAAGAUCUAACUUACACACAUGCACAGUGAAGAUAAGGUGAUGGGAAUAACUCCCAUGAUCUUAUAUCAGAGACUGAGUGCUGGGCUGGAGUCUGCCUUUCCCGGUGUCCCUUUCUUAAUAAUCAAAAUGAGCUCUAAUGAAUUUUGAAUAUAAAUAAAUAAAAAUAUAAAUAAAACUAAUUCAAAGUUACAUCUCAAUCAUAAUGAUUUUUCCAACCUAUUAAAAAAAGUGGAAUAUUAUUGGACAAAAGACAAAGUACUUCUGGGUCAUGCCACCAUUUCAACUUAUUAUUCAUUUUAAUAUGUUUACAAACUAAUGAUGGUGAUAGAUUUGCAGUUUUGCCUGUAGAGUUAUUCCCAUGUUUGUUUUAUAUAACCCUGUGCUUCCCAACCAUCUCUUCUUAAUGAUGUACCAGACCUUCUAAUCAAAGACAGAUCUGGACUACAGGCAAACCAAAUGUGACGCCAAGGUCUGUGAUUUGUACAGAAUUAGAUCCAAUAUACAGUAUGUAUCAUGGUUGGGGCCAAAAUCAGCUUGAUGUCUUUGAAUGUAGAUUAAUGCAUCAUAAUUUAAAUCCACCUUAGAGACUGGAGCAUAUUUCCUGAUUAUCUACUAGUAAAAUGUGUACUAGACAGUAUGCACAUGUGCAGUUCCAGCGACCUGAUACUCCAGUUUCCUGCUCCAUGUCCUCACUGUGGUUUGGGUGGAGUUUGCACCUACACACUGCACCUCACCCUAUUAGUCACAGCGCUGUCUCCUCUAUAACACUGCCUUCCGGUUGACUGAUGUUUAUGAAGAACCAACCCUGAGUAUAA